UCCCUGGUGGUGUAGUGGUAAGGACUUAGCACUUUCAAUGCUGCAGCCUAGGUUCAAUCCCUCAUCUGGGAA
rnacentral:tRNA from 1 species